UAGGAGUCUCACAAAAACCCAAGCCGAA
rnacentral:piRNA from 1 species